CCCUUAGAUGUUCUGGGCCGCACGCGCGCUACACUGUUCGACGCAGCGAGUCUUAACCUUGACCGAAAGGUUUGGGUAAUCUUCAGCAAAGUCGAACGUGAUGGGGAUCGAUCAUUGCAAUUAUUGAUCGUGAACGAGGAAUUCCUAGUAAGUGCAAGUCAUCAGCUUGCGCUGAUUACGUCCCUGCCCUUUGUACACACCGCCCGUCGCUACUACCGAUUGAAUGGUUCGGUGAAGAUCUCGGACUUCGAUAUUUAUUCUUUAUUGAGUUUAUAUUGUGGGAAGUUAUCUAAACCUCAUCAUUUAGAGGAAGGUGAAGUCGUAACA
rnacentral:rRNA from 1 species